AGCGAACGCUGGCGGCAGGCCUAACACAUGCAAGUCGAACGGACCCUUCGGGGUUAGUGGCGGACGGGUGAGUAACACGUGGGAACGUGCCUUUUGGUUCGGAAUAGCUCCUGGAAACGGGUGGUAAUGCCGAAUGUGCCCUUUGGGGGAAAGAUUUAUCGCCAUUAGAGCGGCCCGCGUCUGAUUAGCUAGUUGGUGGCGUAAAGGCUAACCAAGGCGACGAUCAGUAGCUGGUCUGAGAGGAUGAACAGCCACAUUGGGCCUGAGACACGGCCCAAACUCCUACGGGAGGUUUCCGUGGGGAAUCUUGCGCAAUAGGCGAAAGCCUGACGCAGUCAUGCCGCGUGAAUGAUGAAGGUCUUAGGAUUGUAAACUUCUUUCACCGGGGACGAUAAUGACGGUACCCGGAGAAGAAGCCCCGGCUAACUUCGUGCCAGCAGCCGCGGUAAGAC
rnacentral:rRNA from 1 species